rnacentral:rRNA from 1 species
UACAGAGGUGGCAAGCGUUGUUCGGAAUUACUGGGCGUAAAGGGCGCGUAGGCGGCCUGACAAGUUGGACGUGAAAGCUCCUGGCUUAACUGGGAGAGGCCGUUCAAAACUGUCAAGCUAGAGUCUGGAAGAGGAGAGCGGAAUUCCCGGUGUAGUGGUGGAAUGCGUAGAGAUCGGGAGGAACACCAGUGGCGAAAGCGGCUCUCUGGUCCAAAACUGACGCUGAGGGGCGAAAGCGUGGGGAGCGAACGGG